GUCCUAGCCGUAAACGGUGCACGUUUGCUGUAAAAGGAAUCGACCCCUUUUGUGGCGUAGCCAACGCGUUAAACGUGCCGCCUGGGAAGUACGGUCGCAAGAUUAAAACUCAAAGAAAUUGACGGGGCCUGCACAAGCGGUGGAGUAUGUGGCUCAAUUCGAUGCAACGCGAAGAACCUUACCUGGCCUUGACAUGUAUGUAGUAGAAGGGUGAAAGCCUGACGAGGUAGCAAUACCAGCAUACACAGGUGCUGCAUGGCUGUCGU
rnacentral:rRNA from 1 species